GAUGAACGCUGGCGGCGUGCCUAAUACAUGCAAGUCGAGCGAACAGACGAGGAGCUUGCUCCUCUGACGUUAGCGGCGGACGGGUGAGUAACACGUGGAUAACCUACCUAUAAGACUGGGAUAACUUCGGGAAACCGGAGCUAAUACCGGGUAAUAUAUUGAACCGCAUGGUUCAAUAGUGAAAGACGGUUUUGCUGUCACUUAUAGAUGGAUCCGCGCCGCAUUAGCUAGUUGGUAAGGUAACGGCUUACCAAGGCAACGAUGCGUAGCCGACCUGAGAGGGUGAUCGGCCACACUGGAACUGAGACACGGUCCAGACUCCUACGGGAGGCAGCAGUAGGGAAUCUUCCGCAAUGGGCGAAAGCCUGACGGAGCAACGCCGCGUGAGUGAUGAAGGCCUUCGGAUCGUAAAACUCUGUUAUUAGGGAAGAACAAAUGUGUAAGUAACUAUGCACGUCUUGACGGUACCUAAUCAGAAAGCCACGGCUAACUACGUG
rnacentral:rRNA from 1 species